rnacentral:rRNA from 1 species
ACGGGAACCUUCGGGUUCUAGUGGCGGACGGGUGAGUAACGCGUGAGAAUCUGCCAAAAGGACUGGGACAACCACUGGAAACGGUGGCUAAUACCGGAUGUGCCGCAACGUAAAAGAGGAAACUCGCCUUUUGAGGAGCUCGCGUCUGAUUAGCUAGUUGGUAGGGUAAAAGCCUACCAAGGCAUCGAUCAGUAGCCGGUCUGAGAGGAUGACCAGCCACACUGGGACUGAGACACGGCCCAGACUCCUACGGGAGGCAGCAGUGGGGAAUUUUCCGCAAUGGGCGAAAGCCUGACGGAGCAAGACCGCGUGAGGGAGGAAGGCUCUUGGGUUGUAAACCUCUUUUCUCAGGGAAGAACACAAUGACGGUACCUGAGGAAUCAGCCUCGGCUAACUCCGUGCCAGCAGCCGCGGUAAUACGGAGGAGGCAAGCGUUAUCCGGAAUUAUUGGGCGUAAAGCGUCCGCAGGUGGCACUUCAAGUCUGUCGUCAAAGACUGGGGCUUAACCCUGGAAAGGCGGUGGAAACUGAAGCGCUAGAGUGCGGUAGGGGUAGAGGGAAUUCCCGGUGUAGCGGUGAAGUGCGUAGAGAUCGGGAAGAACAUCGGUGGCGGAAGCGCUCUACUGGACCGCAACUGACACUCAGGGACGAAAGCUAGGGGAGCGAAUGGGAUUAGAUACCCCAGUAGUCCUAGCCGUAAACGAUGGAUACUA